rnacentral:ncRNA from 1 species
GAACUGAAGAGUUUGAUCCUGGCUCAGAUUGAACGCUGGCGGCAUGCUUUACACAUGCAAGUCGAACGCGAAAGGGGGGCAACCCCCGAGUAGAGUGGCGAACGGGUGAGUAAUACAUCGGAACAUAUCCUGUAGCGGGGGAUAACCUCGAGAAAUCGAGGCUAAUACCGCAUACGUCCUACGGGAGAAAGCGGGGGAUCGCAAGACCUCGCACUAUAGGAGUGGCCGAUGUCGGAUUAGCUAGUUGGCGGGGUAAAAGCCCACCAAGGCUACGAUCCGUAGCUGGUCUGAGAGGAUGAUCAGCCACACUGGGACUGA